UACGUAGGGUGCAAGCGUUGUCCGGAAUCAUUGGGCGUAAAGGGCGCGUAGGCGGCCUGUUAAGUCGAACGUGAAAUCCCCGGGCUCAACCCGGGAACUGCGUCCGAUACUGGCAGGCUUGAAUCCGGGAGAGGGAUGCGGAAUUCCAGGUGUAGCGGUGAAAUGCGUAGAUAUCUGGAGGAACACCGGCGGCGAAGGCGGCAUCCUGGACCGGCAUUGACGCUGAGGCGCGAAAGCCAGGGGAGACAAAGCGGGAU
rnacentral:rRNA from 1 species